rnacentral:rRNA from 1 species
GACGAACGCUGGCGGCGUGCUUAACACAUGCAAGUCGAACAGUGGCGAACGGGUGAGUAACACGAGAGUAACCUGCCCUCCACUUUGGGAUAACUCCGAGAAAUCGGGGCUAUACUGGAUAGUGGGGGAGGGGCUCGCGGCCUCUCAGUUUGUUGGUGCGGUAGUGGUCACCAAGGUGUGACGGGUAGCCGGCCUGAGAGGGCGACCGGCCACACAGGGACUGAGACAGGGCCCGGAAUACUACGGGAGGCAGCAGUGGGGAGUAUUGCACAAUGGGCGAAAGGCUGAUGACGCGACGCCGCGUGGGGGAUGACGGCCUUCGGGUUGUAAACCUCUUUCAGCAAGGAAGCGGUACUUGCAGAAUAAGCACCGGCUAACUUCGUGCCAGCCGCCGCGGUAAUAC